GCCUGAGUGGCUCAGUCGGUUGAGCGUCCAACUUUGGCCCAGGUCAUGAUCUCACGGCUGGUGAGUUCAAGUCCCGCCUCAGGCU
rnacentral:tRNA from 1 species